UUCGAUGUAUUUCUUGGCUAAAAGUACGUCAAAAACGACGACGAAUUCAUUCGGUCGGAGUACGCACAGUUUUCGAGUUACCGUACCCCGAACCCUGAGGAAAGCACGUCGGAGAUUCAUUCGUCGAAAGACAUAAAAAACACAUUUCUCUCGAAUUGAAGAUCCAACGAGGUUUUUCCACUAAGGGGAUGGCCCGGUAGACAGGGAGUUUUCGUCAAGAUAAAAAAUCGCCGUCGCGCAGGCUGAACGAGGGGAAACAUACAGGUCUGGGCUGAUAAAUCGUAGCGGGCAACUGGUAUCAGGAACGAGUUUGCAGCUCCCUAUCGAAAUCACUCUAGAAGAUAUUCCUGAGGAUUUAAUCCCGAAGCGAAUUGACGGAACAAGGCUCAUCUUUAAUACGAGGCUCUGCUGGAAAGUCACAAAACGUCGUAUGGGAGGAUUCUUCGACUUUACCAAGCCACUUGGAAUUUGAAUGGCGCAAGAAAACGCACCAAGGUACAAGGUGAGCUAAACGAAAAACAUGGAAUAAAUUACUGUGACAACGACGACGAGCAGGGCUUGGAACGAGUGAAUGGCGGUCGUUACGAGCACCACAGUCACAUCAAAAACAAAUAUAUAUCUACAAUCUGCAUAGCAUGUAAAUCAUAUCUUUAUCAUGACUGUAAUAUUUUAUACAGAAUAUAUAUGAGAGAUUUUGCGCCAAUUUUACAUAUCGAAAUCCGCAUCCUUUUUAACUCGCGUGAAUAUUUCACACGUUUUUUUCUAUUAUUAUUAAAAAAUUAAGCAGAAAUGUAUU